rnacentral:lncRNA from 1 species
UGCUUUUGCCGCAUCCGGAGUCGGCGGCGAGUCCGAUCACGAUGGUUUGUUGUGCGGCGCAAGUGAUGAUUGUGUUGAAUCUACGGUUGGUUUGGGAUUGACGACGGUAGAAGAAGACUUGUUUCGAGGAGGAAGAAGAUGGAGAAGAGGUUAAGAAAUGAGUUGAGUUGAGAGCUUGUGUUGAGUAGAUUGUUGAGACAGCCAUUGUUGUUGUUUGGUUCCUGCUUCCUCUUCUUCUCCGCCUAAGCUCUCUGUUUUUUUCUUUUUUGGUUUUGUGAGCUAAGGUUGAGUGAUGAAUAUUAGGAUAGAAUGAAAGAAAUGUGGGUAACGAUUUUUGAUUUAUGGGUUUUUGUGUGGUGAUGUAAAGAUGUGGUUUUUCUUCAAAUAAAAAAAUAAAUGGGGUUUUUUUUUUAUGGGGGAAAGAGAGAAAUGAGAGGAUGAAAAUGGGUUUGUAGGAAAACAAAUGGCAAUUUGCAAAGAAGAAAAAAAGAGUUUUGUUUUGUUUUGAUUUUGAUAUGAUUUAGUGUGGUUUUUUAAUGAGUGGUUCAUGUUUUGGUUUCUUGAAGUAAAUUCAUCUGGUAAUGUUGUUAAAGAUAAGUUUUAGUCUCUUUGUUAAAGAUAAUUGUUGAUAAGUAAAAGAUUUCUAGCCCCAAAAAACCCAAGAAACAUGUAGAUUUACUUCCUUUUAGAUUUGCGUAAUCCCUAUUGUUUAAUAAUGAUUGGAUAUUGAAGUUUCGGAGAGAGUGAAGUUGCCGAUGAUGAAGUGAUAAAACUAAAACAGGGCAUGGACAGACACUUGGUGGUUAUUUGCUUAUUUCUUUGGGUUUCGGAUAUUUGAAUUGACACGUGGUAGAGUUUGAUUGGAUACAUGGGGAUUAUGUGCUUAAGGUCGGAAGUUGAAGGAGAGUGUAUUAUAUGGGCCCCAUUGACACGUCUCGUAUAUCCCCUUUAGCUUCGUAUCUUUAUGGUCUUUGAACAACUUACCUUUUCUUCAUUUAUGUCUCUUCCGGGACACAAAAUCAUUAGACUAAAAAAACUUUUUUUUCUGAAUAUUGACCGUGUUGUUUUAACAGAGAACCUCACCAAUUUUGACAACGAGAACACAUCUUAAUACACAUGAGUUUUAGCCAGAUCGAAAUUUUAUGGCUAUGGUUGUCUUAAUAGUCAACUUCGUCGUAAGGAAAAAAAAAACCCAGAUUUUAAGAGACGAUAUUGGGUACUAAGUGUUAUUACAAACGGAAGAAGAGCAGAAGAGAAAAAACCUACAGAAAUGGCCGAACAACCACUGUAUCUCUCUCUUGCAACUAUAGUAACUAAAAGAAAUUUACCUCGACACAACACAUUUAAUGGUAAAAUGGUAAUUACAUUCUGACGAGAUACACAUAUUUCAAACCUUUUUAUCAAAGGGAAAAUUACCAUCAUCCUCUCUCCCUUCUUUUUUUACUUGUUCCCCCUAAAGUAGAGGUAGAUUUUCUGCAAACACCACAACAAGAAACACGAUCAAUUCAUCUGUUCAUUUUACCAAAUCCCCUUUGCGGUUAACAUUUUUUUUGCAGAUGCUUACCUGAAGAACCCAUAGACUCAAAAGUGACUCCAAGCAGAAGAGACCAAAGCCGAUAAAGUAAAAGAUCUGCAUUCAUUCAUUAGUAUCAUAUUUAGCUUUAGCUAUCCCAAGAUUUUAAAAUUUUAUGAGUGUGACGAAUAUAAAAUGGAUGUAUGGCUCGUACCCCGGCUAAUACACUGUCUGAGAUGACAUCAAUUGCUGCAAGCACACCCCUGUUGAUUACAAAGAGAACGGGAACAAAGUUAAUCUCAAGGUAACAGAACACAUAGAAACACAAACUUCUAAAGCAUUACAAAAUAAGGCAUUAAUUUGACAGUUUCUAGUUUCCUAUGUCAGCAAAAGUUUUACAAAGUUGAAACUCAGCUAGAGCAACCAAGGGUCGAAAUGAAAAUUAUAAUUCUCAUUCUUAAGUUACAACUCAAUAUUUUUAAGCCUACCAGAAAAAUUUAGAACUCUCCAAAUGAAACCCUCACCAGACUAACCAACUACACGUGAAGAAACAGAGAGCUCGAGCGCAAGAAGAAUAGUAGGCUAUGACUGGAAAACUUACGUCAAUGAUUUUCCAUGGAAGAAAAUCGGAGGGGCAAUGGCGGCAACAAUGCAGAAGCCAAUGUGAAUCUGUGGAGAGCUCAGGUCAAUCAUAUAGAAAAUGGAAAAGUAUACCUACGUAUAGGUAACAUAUAAACAAUACGAAAAGUCUUUAUGAACUCACCAAGUAGGAGAAGAAAAACCAACCAAACUUCAAAGCGCUGUCAGUCCUACAAGGUGGUACAAUGUAUUUCAAUUAUUUGACCUGUCUUAUUAAACAAGUAUUAAAAACAUUGGAAGAGAGCUAAUUAAAACGAGUAUUACCUCAUUGCUCGGUAGAGAGGCCUGUACCACAGUACAUACGAAAGUGGACAUCCGAUCAACGCAUAUAUUGUGGCAAGGAAAAAGAUUUUAACACCUAUCAUUAACAUUUUGAAAAACAACUUUAGUUCAACCAAAUCCAAUCAGAACUUCAUAAAAAUAGUUACCCACAUAAGAUCAUUAUAGAAUAGAGCUCACCUCCGCCUUUAAUCCAGCAGACCAUUGUUGCAAUGACAUUGAACACCAGACACAAAACUAUACCUGAAAUUUAAACACGAACAGUACAAGCCCAUCAGUAGACUGCAUUAGAUACAUUUCAUUGCACAAAGACAAGACAAACUAAAUUGAACUUACCUAACCAACUAGCGAAAGCCAGAUACUGCAGCUUCUGAGCAUGAACUGGUAUCUCAUUAGCAAUGUCAUGGUGUAUGAUUGGGAAAAACGGUGGCCAGUUUUUAUCAUCUAUCUGGACACCAGCUGCAACACAAUUUGAUGAGUAUGGUUAGGAAUCAUCCAUCUCGACAUUCACUGAUAUAUUGUGGUCAGAGCGAGUCAAACUAAUGAACAAAAUGGUCACCAAGUUGUCAUUUGCUUACAUUUAGCAAUAGCAUCCUCUCUUCGCUUAAUAUCCUGAGUGAACAGUAAAUAAAUAGUUAUACAUAUAAGAGAAAACGGCAAUCAGCAAAACUUUAAGAAGCACAGUGAAGAUUUGUUUGAUGAAUUAAUAUCAAUGGAACGAACCAUUUCUUUCUUCCUAAGCUCUGCUUCCCAGUCUGCAAGCUUUCUCUGUUUCUGUGAAGAGUCCUGCACAAAUUAAACAGAUAUGUAAGAUAAGAUUUUAAGAGAGAAAGGUCCAUAAAUUUUAGGGAUACUAAAUGCCAUUACAUUCAUCGUAUCGAGUGGAAUAUCAACAGUAGCAUCGAGGCUCUGGCCAAAUCCAACUGGCCUAGACGCAGCAGGAACCCUACCACCGCCUUUCUGCAGAAUUUAUCAAAUAUUACAACACCAGUAGGCGAAUCGAAAAGUGACAUUGAAUUUGAUACUCCAAACCUAAAAAUGAGUCUCAAAUCAUUUCCAAGUUAUAAAAGACUACUCUCACAUUAAACCAAAUCACUCGCUAACCAUACUAGUUUCUAGAAAACUUCUGAAACCAAUUCCCAGAUCCAGAGAUACAACUCAGUACAAUAAAACCCUAUAUAUCGGUAAAUCCGGAAGAAAAAAUCAGAGAUCUAUAACCUCAACACUGUUAAAACCAUAUCAAACGGAAACGAGCCUCGGAGAUCAAGUCGAAAUCACACAAUCCUCAGUUUCUGCUAUAUUCCAGUAAAUGAAAACUCGUAAUAAGUGAGAGAUCUACAUUACUAAAGCUUAGUAAACGCAAAAAAAAAAACCCGAAUAAUCGUAAAAGAAAAAAGAAAUAAGAGAUAAUGCGUAGAAAUAGAAAGCGGAGAUAAAGCGAGAAAGAAAAGGAGAGAGAUAGAGAGAAAAGCGUUACCGAGAAGGGAUUGACGAUUUCUUCUUCCUCAUCGAAAGGGUUUGGAUCGUGGUGGCGAUUCAUUGCUGGUUUCCGAUCCUAGAUUUACGAAUUCCGAUAAGAUCGCCGAGAUCCGGCGAGUGUAAGGAAAAGAGAGAAAAUUAGAAGAAACAAAAAAAAGAUACCACCGACUGCGUAGCAAACUGAAAUGGGUGGACUCCUUAUUUGUUUUUUCUCUCGCGCUCUCUCCGAGUCUCUCUCGCAUGCGAGAAACCUACGGUAUUUACGAGACUACCCCUAAGAACUAUAUGAGCCGUUAUGGUUAUAUUUGGUCCGGCCUUCAAAGUCUAUUAACCAUAACGUCCCAUAUAAUUCUUAGGAAUCUUUCCACAACAUCAUUUAUUAUUCCUUUGACAUUACAAACACUAAAUUUUUUUCUUUCUUGCCCAUCGGUUCUUUCCACUACACAUCACAAAUAACAAAUAUACAUCGCAUUAUAUGGGAAUCGAUCUAUGGACCUUGUGAUGAAAUAGCAUACCAUAUGACUAAAAUGACUUCCACUAAUUACAAACAAAAAAGUUACAAAAUGAGUGUGUUAAACAAAAAAAUUCAAACUUAAACCGGGGGUAACUGAGGUGAACCGCCGGUCCUAUUAGCCACCCAAUGAUCCAUGAGUUCACUGAAAAUGCCGUAAGCAAUCACUGAGAGCCAUAGGCACCAGAGAACUGUGUGUGUACUGAAAAUGCCAUAAGCAAUCAUUGCUUAUAACGAGGACUGUGUGUACAGCUUGUGAGUAUGUCAUUGAGGCUUCUGUUUCAUUGCUUGUGUUUGGGAUGUUUUGGUUCAUGACGUCCAUUUCCUUUCUUUCUUUUUUUUUUUAAAACGAAGAACUUUUUUAUUGAUGAUAAUCGGUUACUUUCUCCUUUUCUUGUGAUAAUUUUGUUCGGUUCACGAGUUUAUAUAGAAGAGGGGGGGGGGUGCCGUGGUGGAAAUGUCGCCAAUACUUCGUCGUGUGAGUCGCGGGUGCUUAGUGGACCUAAGAAUAUACAUCUCGUUUUUGUUGUCAAUUCUAAUUUCAUUUGGCAAUUGGCAUUUUGAGUCUGAUCGAUGAGAUUAAAAAAAAAUAGCGAUUAAAACCAAAAGAAAUAUGCGUAUCGUAUCAUUUCAACGAACUCUGGCUCUCAAGUCUGAACACAAUGUGGCAUGGCUAAUCUCCUUGGCACAAGUGUUUUCUUUUUGGGAGAAUUGCUAUUGUGACCUUAAAAAUAGCUGUAAUUAGUAGAACAACCUUACAUUCUCGAAAUUAGUAGAAUAACCUUCCAUUUUAAAAAAACCCGAUUUUAUCUUCGAGAAGCUUUGAUGAGAAAAAACGUAUUUACAAAAAUGCCACUAUUAAAUUAUUUCCACGUCAGCUGUUAAAAUCGGGUACCCAGAAAUAAGUCUACCAAGCUUAAUGGUAGAUAUAUAAGUUUUGAUAGAUUUAAAAAUAUAUCGGUAGACAUAAUAAUUUUUGGUAGACUUAAUAUUCAAAAAAUAGAUUUGUUUAGGUGUUGAUAGACUUAUAAUGAUAGAUUUAUUUUCAUCGAAAGGUAGAUUUAAAAUUGUUGAUAGAUAUUUGAAUGUGUUGGUAGACUUGUUGGUUCUUAAAGUAGAUUUAUUUUCAAGAUGGUAGACAUAAUGUUGUUGAGUUGACUUUGUGAGAUGUGGUUGACCAAAAUCGGUAGACUUAUUAUCUUUCACAGUAGAUUUGUUAGACACGAAAAUAGACUUAUUUCUAAUAAAUAUAAAUCGACUACAAUAUAAAAAAUUUAUUCGUGAUAGUUUUGUUGUACGCAUGGUAGAUGUAAAUGUCGAUAAUAGAUUUGUUUUGAAAUAAUAGACUUGUUUUCUGUGUGGUAGACUUAAAAGUUCCGUUAGAGAGUAUAGAUAUGUGAUAGACAUAUGAGAGUAUGUAAUAGAUAUAUUUGGCGGUGGUAGACUUAUUCUUAAAAAAGUAGAUUUAUUUGAUAAUAUAGUAGACAUAUAACUCAUUUGGGAGCUUCGAUGUUGGUAGACUUAUUUGAAAAUUGGUAGACCUAUUUGAAAUUGGUAGACAUAUUGAAAGUUGAUAGACAUAUUUACUUCACUGAACGGUAGACUUAAUGAUAUGAAAUGACGUUUUUAUCAAGUAGUUAUUAUCGAAUUUUUCUGUUCCAACCACUGCAUCUAGUAGCUCUUAUGAUUUCUUCUCUUUACCUCUUUUGGAGUAUUAUUUGUACCUUGGAGGAAAAAGUUUUAGUUAUUGAUUGGGAAAUCGACUAUAGUGAUUUCGUAGGUAUGGUUUAUGAAAAUUUUGACAUGGAUCAAUGCUAUUAUGAGGUUCGAUUGAGUUAUAUGUUGUUGAAGACAUACUUGCAAAAGCUACCGCGAGAUACACUUCUGGGUUUUUAGCAAGUACUCGACAACUUGGUGGUUUUUUGCAAUAAUUUGAAAACAAAAUGGUCCGUCCAUUUAUGCGUCUAGAUUAUAGACAAAGCGGAGUCCAAAGAUAUCGAAAAAUAUGUCAAAACUUCAAUUGUAUAAAGUGAUGAUUAAGCAAGUAAAUCAUACAUGAUUCAAUAACUAUACAAUACCAUAUAUGAUUAAAUAAGUCUAUCAUACAUAAAUCAACUAUAACAUACAAAGAACAAUAACUUUAUCGUAUAUGAUUCAACAACUCUAUCAUACAUAUAGAGAACAAUAACUCUAUCAUACCUGAUUCAACAACUCUAUCAUACAUACACCAAACAAUAACUUUACAAUACACAGUCUAACAAGUCUACUAUACACGGAUGUCUGAUUCCUGCAACACACACAAAUUAGGGUUAGCUUUACUUUCGAAAGCUCACUUUCAGCCGCCGUUGCAACUGUAACUCUAUCUUUCGCACAAUCGACGCCGAAAGUUCCUUUUCAGCCCCUGCCGCCAUAGGUGACUGGUGUCUUUCGCCCAAAAAACACCGGAAGUUCCCUAAUAUGCUCGCCGGGUCCUCACAUUGAUUCUCUGAAGAAGAUGAAACGACUUCAAGGACUCAAACACGAAAUCACCAGAAUCACAGAUUCGCCGGAAACACAAAAAAAAUUCAGUAUAAUAACUCUAUCAUACAUGAUUAAACAAGUCUACCAUACAUGGAACAAUAAAUUAUAUAUGAUGCAUAAAUCUAUCAUACACGGAAAACUAACGUGUUCGUCACCGAGAGAAGACGAGAGGUCUGAAAUCAGCUUUUUUGUCUUUCGUCUUCUCCGGUGCUUGCUGUAGCCGACAAGCUGACAACGGUGAAGAACGCGAAAAUGAAAAAGUGAAUGAAACGAAAUGAUGAAGAAAAAUGAAACGACAAAUGGACAAAAACUUAUCGGAGAUGCAGAACAGGCCGAUAAGAAGCUCAGAAGGUGACCAGAAACGAUGCAGACGCCGGAAACUCGCAAAAUCUGGAAAAUCACCAUCAUCGUCGGUUUCUCCUCCACCUCUAGGUUUUUUUUUCUCGGAAAUGAAAUAGAAAUUAGGUUGAAAACGAAAUCUCAAAGAUAUUUAAAAAAAAUUAUUUUAUUAUUUUUUUAAAAAAUUAAUUAAAUUACGAAAUUAUUAAAAAAAAAAAAAGAUUUUCAUGUGUGAGGGGUUACACCGUCUUUUCCACGCUGGUAAGGUUAAUCUAGCAAAAAUAUAAGGGACCUAGGUUACUUUUGCAAACAGACCUAUUUGUAAGGUCAUUCUAGUAAUUAUUCCUUUCUUUUUAAACUCAUCCAAUACUCACUCACUCCUAAAUCAUUCAAUCUCACUCCAGUUUUCUUCAUUUUUUCAAUUUCGUUUUCAAAUUAUUAUUAAUACAUUUCUCUCUUUCAUAAAACAAAUUUAUCCAUUGGUGUGAUCUAAUCAAUGUGGAUUUAUACAUUUCUAAAUACAAUAGUAUGAGGAUUUGGUUCAUUCACAUUUUUGGUCAAUAUUUUACUCUUUUUUUUUGAGUUUGAAACGCCAAUAGUAGUUAUUAAAAAAAUCUACAAAAAUAAUUUUAGAAAUUUAUGUAGAUAAUAUUUCACAACUUUUAAAUAUUAUUAUUUUUAAAUAUUAACCUUUUUAGUUUUUUAUUAUUUUUAAUUAAUUUUGAUUGUAAACACGUCUUUAAAGUCAUUGAUUCAAUAGAAAGCGUGGAGUUAAAAAUACUGAAAAAGGUUUGAAAAUUAAUUUAAAAGUCGUUUGAAACAUGCAUACAGCUGAAUUAAUUUAAAACGGUGAAAAGGUUUGAAAAUGAAAAUAAAGUUUUAAGACUUUAUAAGAUUUAAAUUUUGGAGAAAUGUAAAAGCUUUAAGAAAUAGCAAAAACACCAACCAAUGUCUAUUCCAAAACAUUUGUUUGAAGUUACACUGUUAAUGAAGUGUAGAGAAAUGGAAAAUUUAGUUUGUUGAGAAAUUGUUCAUUUACAGUGUAUUAACGAAAAUCAAAUACUUAUUAAAAUCAAAUUGUUGGGAAUACUUUCGGGAGUGUUAGCAGGAACUGGUAUUUCUAAUGAUUGUUACAGAGUUUUGAGAUUUUAUUAUCUAUAUACUUAUUUGUGUAGUGAUUUUCUGAUGUGUCACGUUCAUAGAGAUUUUCGCAACCUUCCGCUUACGUGUCAGCUCUAGAAUGAAUUUUGGCUGUAAAUAGAUUGUUUAGCCUUAUUUUAAAAUUAUGUGUCAUUUUUUUAUGGGUUCUUAUCUGAUGAUGUAUAGAAAAAAAAACUUAUAAAAACCAGUCUAAAUUAUUAUAAUUUAAUAUUUAAUUUCAUAGUUAAUCAAACCGAUUUUAAAAUUAUAUAUAACCGAAAUUUUUUUAAAAAAAUUAACAAAAACGUUUUUUUAUUAAAAAAAUUAGAAAAUUUAUAUCUUCUAGUGUUUACCAUUUUUAUGUUUCUGGAAUUUAAAAAAAAUCUAAUAAAAAUGUAAAAAAAUAUAAAAAAUAAAAACUAUUUAAAAAAUAAUGGAUUAUCGUUUCAAAACAAAAAAAAAAUUGAAAUCUAAAAAAAAAUCUAACAAAAAGUAAUAUAUAUAUAUUUAUAUAUAACUAAUAGAAUGACGGUAUUUGUGAUGUUUAAAACACAUAAAACAGUGAUCAAAAUUGAAUAAGUUUAUACAAUACUUCAAAAAAUUACGUCUAAAAUACAUAGAACAAUGAUCAAAAGAUCUCAAAACUAUUUGAUCUAAAUUAUUUAAACUAUAUAACUAAUGAAAUGACGGUAUUUGUGAUGUUUAAAACACAUAAAACAGUUAUCAAAAUCGAAUAAGUUCAUACGGUACUUCAAAAAAUUACGUCUAAAAUACAUAGAACAGUGAUUAAAAGAUUUCAAAACUAUUUAAACUAAAUUAUUUGAAUACUACUAUGUUUUUAUUUAAUCUCUUCUAUUAUAUAUUAUUUUCACGAUCAUGCAUUCCAACAUUAAAAUGUAAAGAAAUCUAACAAACAAAUAUAUUCAAGAAUAAAUAAACAAAUGAAUCCAAACUACUAUUAGAUUUUCAAACAAUCAAAUAUAAAUUAUAUCAGUCCACGCAAAGCGCGGAAAAGUUAACUAGUUAUUGGUUUAUAUUGUUUUAAUGUUUUCAAUAGAUUUUACUCCUAUUUAUUUAUAAAAACUAAUAUUCUUUAUAAAUCCACUUUUAUUGGUUUGAUAACUUCCAAGUGUUAUUCUAAAUCCACCUAACGAUUCUCUUGAAAUUUAGUGUUAUUGGGUUAUAGAGAAUUCUUAACAAUUAAUUAACUCAUAAAACAUAUCUUUCAGAAUAAGGAAUUCUUAAAGUUUGUUAUGAUAUAUUUUCGGCGGAUUUGAUUAUUCAACACACAAAACGCUCGUCAAAUUUGGUUUUUUGUUAAAAAAAAUCAACAAAUCUCUUGUUCUAUGAAUCCACCUGUAUUUAAUAUAAAUUCAACUUCCAAUAAAUACAUAUCGAAAAUACUAAUAAACAAUUUGUGGGUUAGAUACCGUGUAUUCUUUUAAAAGUCAGUUUUAGAAAUUUUUGAAAUUAUUUGCCGAGUGAACGCGUUUAGAUUACGCGUCUUAGUAUUAUAUUUUUUUUAAAGAAAAUCAGUAUUUUGAAAGAAUUAAAACAACUGAAAAAAAACUUAGCGUCAAAUUUUAAAAUUAAAAACAAUUGGAAACAAAUUUUUUGUUUUUUUUUUGGGGGGGGGGGAGAAGCUUCCGAGCCUUUCAUUUUUCAAAACUCUGAAUAGUAAAUUUUCUGUUUGAGAACUUCUUCGGUACAAUGCAUAUCUUUUUCCUUAUCGAUUCAAUACAAAUUAAUAUACGAUCAAGGUUCAAUGUCUGUAAUCAUUCAUUUUUUUUCCAGAAACCUUUAAUUUAUGAGUUUAAGAAUACACAAGUAACAGAGAAAUAUGAUUCAAGGCAGGGAAGAGUGAUUGCAGAUUUCUUGGCUGAUUGCUUUCUCCAACAAAGUUCCCGCAUCUUCCAUCAUCUAAGAGUGUAGCCGAACCAUAAGAACGUAUAAGUAGCCCUGUAACCAAUUCUUCGGUGCACCUUCUUUACUCGCUCAUUCCUUGAAACCCAACAGAAUCUGCAAUUACUCUUCCCUGCUUUGAACAUGAGUUUACAAUGAUAUUCAUAUAUCAUGUAAACCGUUCCCCCGUGUAUCCUUGACUUGGAGCAGAAGUUUCAUAAGAGAAACCUUAAACAACUACAAUGAAAAAAUGGGCGUGCAAAAAAAAAUUAAAAAAGAAAGAAAAAAUGGGCGUGCUGGUGCCACUUUCAAAUUACUCCGAUGGCAAAAUGGGUUUAUAUAGGCUGCACUUUCGUUCACAUUGACACAUUUCAAACCUAAUCGUGUGGUCUAUACUCUCUCCUGAAUUAUGAGAGUUGAGCAAUAAACGGCUGUGAUUCAUUUCGGAAUAUUAGGUAGUUUCAUGGAAAUUUAAUACGCCUACUACUACGACUCCUAUAACUUGUAAUAUUAAUAUUAUUAUUAGAACGGUGAAGUCGAUGAGAAAAAGAGAAAUUAAACUAAGUUAUUUGACCCAAAAAAAAAAAGAGAAACUAAGUUUUUUUUUGGCCAAAAAUCUUGAGGAGUAAUUUACAAAAAGAAACUCAGUUUCGUCGAAAGUUUCGUUUUAUUCCGUCGGUACCUUCGAUUUUCCUCUUGCAAAGCUAUGAAAAAGCAUUUUACAAAAUACAAAAAGCUAUGAAAUACAAACUAUGAAAAUGGCUAUAUGACUGUAUUUUGGCUUAUACGUUUAAUAAGAAAGUAUGCGUUUUUUUUGUUAACUUAUAUUUUCAAAGUAAGACCUGACAAAUUAAUUUAUAACAAGAUCCUCUAUAUCUUUUCACUUCUUUUUAGCCGAAAUUAUAUAUAAAUUUUUGUUGGUUCUAAACACAAAUACUGUAAUUAAUUUUACCUAAAGCAUCUACAAAUUUAACCAAAAAAAUCAGAAACUUGUUUCCAAAAUUCAAAAUAGUUUUAACCACAUAUAGUUUGAUUGGUGACACAAAGCUGUAUAAAAAAUUAGUGCUAACAAAGACUAGUGGUACUAAAAAAACUAUAAAUAUGGCUUUGGAUACUAUUAAUUUUUUAUUCCUGUGAUUUGUAAAAUAUUAUUUCCCAUAAUUUUAAUUUUCCUCUUUAGUUUACAUUUUUUAAUGAAAAAUUAAAAUUGUAUUAUACAGCUUCCAUCGCCAAUUAUAUGCUCAAUUCCCUCACAUGUUCUCGGUAACUUCCCUCGGGCAUUCUAAGAAGUAUAUAUAUGCGUAGUUGCGUGUAUACAUAUAUAAGAAAUCCCUAAGGAAUAUAUAAGUUGGAAAAAGUCAUUAAUGUAAACAUUUGAAUUUGGAUGGGUAACAUGUAGUAUUUGAGAUCAUUCCAGGAAAUUUACGAAAUAAACAAAAUUAAAAUACUCUUAUUAUUAAAAUAUGUCUCUGACGUAAUCAUUUUCUAUAUUUUAUAAUUAUGGUAUGCGUAUAUUUGCAUAUAGAAAAAGCAAUGUAAAACAAUGUAUUAUCAUGCUUACUUUAUGAAAUAUCAUAUAUGAUAUAUGUAUGUAGAUUGAAAAAAAUGUCAAGUUCAAACAAAUAUAGCAUCCAUAAACUUCAAUAUCUCGAUAACAUUUGCAUACGCUAGUGCAACUAGCUGAUGAGCCCGAAGUUCACUUCAUAAUAAGAUAAGUCUUAAUCUAGUUCCUAAACUUUAAGAGAGAGAGAAGGAUAUACCAAUCACUGCAUGUGUCCGAGAUGUUUGAUUUUUUUUUUUUUUGUUGUCGGCCCAGAAUUAUACGUGAAGAUUGGGCUAAAUCAAAUAUUUUACAUUGACCUAGAAAUGGGUUUGUCAUUUUUUUAAUAGAUGCCCAAUAAUGACAAAAAAAUAUAGAUGCCCAAUAAUGGUUAUUUUGUGUAAAUAGAUGCCCAAUAAUGCUAGUCAUUAUGCAAAAAUAAGAAAAAUAGAAGCAAUUUAUGCUUAUAAAAUUAACUUUCGUUCUAUCCAUCCCUUAGCGCGCAAAUAUCUUAGUUUUUACGAAAACUAUCAUAUUUUGAUUUCGUCAUUGGAAUAACACACCACUUUCAAAUAAAAGUUAUCUCAAUUCCAUAUUGUGACCAAAUUUGUGCUCGAUUAAGCAAUAGAAAUUCGUUCAACGCCAGCCAAACUUUAAAACUUCUGAUACGAUCUUUCAUUUCAUAUUCCUUACCCACAAUAACUCAUUUUCUUUCAAAGUGACCUAAUUUUGAAAAAACUCAGUAAAUAAUAAAAAAAACUCCAAAAAAUACUUUGACUCAAUAAAAUAUUAAAUAAAUAAUUAAACCGGUAAAAUAAUAUUUAUCAGUUGUAACUACAAACAUCCUCAUUUCGGUUAACUACAACAAGGAUUCAUGUUUCAGCUCUUAUCAUGAUUCACAUUCAUCAUGGUCAGAUUCAUCAUGGUCAGAUGAUAAGAACAUAGAUCAUAUUUUGGAAAAGACACAUGUCAAACCCAAUAUUGGCUUAAGUAUUGUGCCAUUGCUUCAAAGCUUUUCUAAGACUACUCGUUUAUGAUGAUUAUUUUACUCGGAUGUUUUUGGCAGAAAAAAUUGACAGCCAAACGUUUGUUAGACCGCAAAACUGACAGCCAAAUGUCUGUUAGAGCGCAAAAUCCGAAUUGAAAUCACGAAGUAAAUCAAUGAAAUUAUAAACGAUAUCUUAAGGAAAGUGUAUGAAAACGAGACUUUGAAAGCCGUUUUGAAAAACUGACUAACACAGAGUCGAGAUUUGAUCUCUUUCCUAAACUCAAUUAAUCGCCCGUAAUGUGUGACGGUUUGUUGCGAUUUUUGAAUCCCAUGAUAAACCGUGAUGAGACUAUUAUGCAACACCCAUAAUAGAAUCUGCGAACUGAAAUAACUACGCUAUAAUUCUCGAGACACUUACUAUAUUAAGAUGAGAGAGAUUUGCUAGAAGCUAUUGUUUUCCAGUGUGUUUUUCAUUUAUGUCUGGAUACGACUGGAUGAAUUUAUCUCAAAAGAGGCUAUUGUAUUUAUAGUAGAAGAUCAUAGUGGAAAACUUUUCCAACUACCGAUGUGGAAUGUUUUACAUGUCAUUUUUUUUCCUUUUUACAUUCACAAGGGUUUUCCUUUUUACAAGGGUUUUCCUUUUUACAAGGUUUUUCUUUUUACAAAGUUUUUCUUUUUACAAGGUUUUCCUUUUUUAGAAGGUUAUUUCCUUUAUUACAAAGCUUUUCUACUGGGCCAUAAAAUCUCAUUGCAAUUCACACAUACACAAUUUUAUAAGCCCGCAAGCUUUAUAAAAAAUAGUUCCAACAAUCCCCCACAUGAAUAGAAAUGACUCUAAAGAUAUGCAGACUCAAUAAACUAUGCAGACUAGACUACAAACUAGACUACAAACUCGAUAGACAGAAUUUUCGAGAGUAUAAACGAAAACUAACUGUAUCUGAGGUAGUAACAUAUUUCAGCCUUGAACCACUCAUUGUUACAUCUGUCGGAUUUACUCAGCCAGGAAGUGAACGCGAUGUCUUGAACCACCCGGAUUUUUGUGUAAACCAAGACAACAUAUAUAACCCAGCUUCGUCUUCUCGUAGAUUUCAGUUCUCUAUUGUGUUCAUUUUGGCCUUGAACAUGCCUGGUUUAUCAUGAGUGAACUUAGAGAGUAUAGUCUUGUCCUCAUUCUCCUAGAAACAGCCUCAUUUCACACGCACUAGGUGAUUGCCAUCUAUCUAUCAUAUACACAGAAAGUAUCAUGUUAUACUCUAUAUACAUGUAUAUGAAGGCUAUGGUCUUAUCUCAUUAAAAGCCAUAAUACUUAACCUUACAUAAUUACAGGAAGCACUGUUUAUCAUCAUGGAAAUUGAGCAUUUUUACAGUGCUUUUCUUAGAUUCUGCUUGAUUUAAUUCUCCCUUAGAACCAACCUCUUGGGAUCUCCAAUUUCAUAGGUGGGGUUUCCAUCAAACAACCUCUUUCGUGAUAAGCAAUAAGCCCAUUCUCUUAGAUGAUUUAAUGAUUUGAUCUCGCGGCAAGCUUUUGGUAAACGGAUCCGUUAAAUUAUCCGCUGACUUGAUGUAAUCGACCGUGAGUACACCACUUGAGAUCAGAUGUCUAAUGGUUUUAUAUCGUCUUCGUAUGUGAUGAGACUUGCCAUUAUAUAGACUUCGGAGGUGGCCCUGCGAUUUUUGCUAGGCACCCCCACACUUUGAGGUAUUUGUACGAAGGUACAUUACUUUUCCAAAGCUCAUACGGUGUUUUGCUAGUUACCUUAUGAGGUGUUUUGUUGAGGAUAUUGUUUGUGGUGAGCAACGCUUCCCCCCCACAGAUUCUGGGGUAGCCCAGAUUAUUGGAACAUUGCAUUCAUCAUUUCCUCUAGAGUUUGUUUUUUUUCUUUCCGAAACUCCUUUAGCAAUUAAAAUGUAUAAGUCGCUAUACACAGCGUUUUCCGAAAGUAAUUUGCUUAGAGUUUCCAUGAAUUCACCAACAUGUGUUCUUAAAACUCGACAAACGUUUCUCGGACUUGUCUGAGACUACCACGUAAAUCGUUUCACAGAUUCGUCUAAAUUAAACGUUGAAAACUCGUUUUCAAAAUCGUUUAUAAGUAUUUUUUGCAAUUUCAAUCCGAUUCAAGCGAUAAGCAGGAAGCGGAUUUAUUGAGUUAAGAUUGUUAGACUGCAAAAAUCUGAAUUGAAAUCACAAAGUAAAUCAAUGAAAUUAUAAAUGAUAUCUUAAGGAAAGUGUAUGAAAACGAGACUUUGAAAACUGUUUUGAAAAACUAACUAACACGGAGUCGAGAUUUGAUCUCUUUCUUUAACUCAAUAAAUCGUCCGUAAUGUUUGACGUUUUGUUACGAUUUUUGAAUCCCAGGAUAAAACCAUGAUGAGACUAUUAUGCAAUACCCAUAAUAGAAUCUGCGAACUGAAAUAACUACGAUAUAACUCUCGAGACACUUACUAUAUUAAGACGAGAGGGAUUUGCUAGAAGUUAUUGUUUUUCUGUGUGUUUUUCUUUUGUCUGGAUACGACUGGAUUCAUUUCUUUCAAGAGAGGCUAUUGUAUUUAUAAUAGAAGAUCAUACUAGAAAAUUUUUCCAACUACUGAUGUGUGAUUUUUUACAUGUCCCUUUUUUCCUUUUUACAUUCACAAAGAUUUUCAUUUUUACUAGAGUUUUUCUUUUUAAAAGAGUUUUGUUAUAAACAAAUGGACUUCUAGUAACCGGCCCAUUAACCAUCAGGUUAAUGUCUCAUGGCCCAUUAGGGUUUUUGAUGCAUUAGUUAUGUAAUGUAUAUAUACACUGCUUAUGGAAAUAAUAAGAUCUGAGUUUUUCCCUUAAUACGUUAUCAGCACGAAGCUCAACUUCAAACGAUCAUAUCUCUCAAAAUACAAGGAGUUAGAAGGCGAUCUACAUAUCAUUUUGAAGCCCUGGAAGAGAAGAAUCUAGUGGUAAAAACCGCUCCUCAAUCCGACAACAGACGCGCCCUCAAGACUCAAAACAAUCGGCGCUGUCCCACCUUAGCGGGUGAUUCUUUCCAAGCGGUGGUUCCUCCAUUGUAGCAGCUGUUCGUCCUCCCUUCUGGCCAUCAUUCUCAGGAGUUUCCAGUAGAUAUCUGUGGUCUUUAGUUCCCAGAUCAUAAGCCGGUCAGAAAUCCAUUUGGCGAAAAGGUAUUAUCUAAAACUAUAGAUCCUAAUCAAAGUUUUUUGAAAACCCUAAUAUGGAUCGGUUCUUUUCAUGAUUCUUCAUCGUUUUUUUUCGUUUUUAAAACCAUAACCAAACCGAUCCUCUUUCUUCUUGUCAAAACCCUAAUUGGUUUUAUUUUUCCUAAUCGGCUUUAUCAUAUAAAACCUAAACCCUAAUGCUUUGUUCAAACUCUAUACCGAUCGGUCCUAGCAUCAUCUAAACCAAACACUAAAAUUCCUUGCAAACCGAAACCUAAAUCUUUGCAAAACCCUAGAUCUAAAAUCGUUUUGGUUUGUCUAUCGUUAAACCGAGAUCGAUCGGUUUAUAUCCUAAACCGAUUGGUUAUUUAUCUUAGAUCCGAUCCUUGAAAACCCUAAAACCGGUCCAUGCAAGCUCCUAAAUCCUAAAACCGAUCGACCCCUUAAAGUCUAAACCAAUCGAUCCACCUAAACCGUUUAUAAACCGAUAAAUUCUAAUCCUAAAUCGAUAGGGUUUAAGUUUAAACCGAUCGGUUUUUCCUAAUAAAAAUUAAACCCUAGCAAAUCCGUUUAGUUUAAUCCCUUAACCGAUUAAUAACCUUAAUAACCGGUUUCUAAAAUUAAAUCUAAUUUAACCGGUUUUGUUGUUUAAUCGAUCAAUCCGAUCGGUUUAAGCUUAAUCGGUUAAUUUCAAAUUAGUUUCCAAAAUCAAUCUCUAGAUUGCCUAAACCCUAAACCUUUAAAAAAAAAUAAAAAAAAAAUAAAAAAAAAUAAAAAAAAACCAAUGUUUAUCUAUUAGAGCUAAAUUUGGAAACCCUAGUAAACCGGAUAGGUUAUAAACCCUAAGGUUCGAUUUUAGAGUUCCUUUAUAUAGCAAGUUUCCUAAAAUAGCAAGUUUCCUGAAAUGGAAAGUUUUCCCAAGAAUACCUUAAAUCCCUUAUUCCAAUGAUCAUAGUCUCAUACUAUUGAUUAUUUAACAUAAAUUAUUAUAUGUUUCAGAUGUCAAACAUUCAGAAGGUCGAAUAUGAGGCACUCACUGUCUCCGGAGAUAACUACCUCAAAUGGGCCCUUGACACCAAGAUCUACCUCAACUCAAAAAGUCUGGGUGAAUGCAUCAAAGAUCCCAACACCGCGACUCAAACAGAACGGUACUCGGCGAUAUUUAUUAUCCGCCAUCACCUUGCUGAGUCUCUCAAGCAACAAUACCUCACUCUUGAGGAUCCACUCGAACUUUGGGUGGCACUGAAAAAGCGAUAUGACCAUCAGAAAACGGUCAUACUGCCCCAAGCCAAGUUCGACUGGAAGAACCUACGGUUCGAAGAUUUCAAAUCCGUCGAAGAAUUCAAUUUCGAACUCUUUCGGAUAGUUGCACUCAUAAAACUAUGUGGCGAGGAGGUCACUGAUAAGGAUAUGCUAGAGAAAACAUUCUCUACUUUUGGCACUCCCAAUGUUGUUCUCCAACAACAAUACCGUGCCAUGAAUCAUAGCACCUAUGAGGAUUUGAUAUCUUGCUUACUGCUUGCUGAGAAGAACAAUCAGCUUCUGUUGAGGAACAGUGCCAUGCGGCCUCCAGGAUCAGCCCCAUUGCCAGAAGGAACCAGAAAAGAGUCCAACUUCGUCCAACGUAACAGAUCCUCAGAUCGUGGACGUGGACGUGGAAAUGGACAUGGACUGCGCGGCAGAGGACGCGGUAGACCGAACCAAGUUAACCGACCUAACCUCAGUUUUGGUCGGGGUAAGGGUCGUGGUAUCAACAAACCGACCCAAAGAGGCUGUUCAUCUAGACCAACUCCUUGCUCAAGAUGCGGAAUGACUAAUCAUUGGGUCAAGAACUGCCGUACUCCCAAAUAUCUUGCUGAGCUCUACCAGAAGUAUGGGAAAGAUAAUCAUGAGGCUAACCUGGUUCAUCAAGUCAAUGAAGAUGACUCAAAGGAUGAUAAGAUUGAUGGCAUGGAUUAUGAGCUCUCCGACCUCCUUGAUUGAUCUCAAAAAAUCUGAAUUUGUUUUUCAUUACUCCUUAAACCUUUAUCUUUUGUUUUUGGGAUUUAUUGUCUUUACUUUGGAUUUUUAAGACCUUUUGCUUUUACAUUUUAAUUUAUGGAGUAAUGUUUUAUUUACAUCUCAUUUUUGCAUGUUAUUGAAUUAUAAUUCUUGUUUAAUGAAGAUAUGCAAGACAAUAUGGAUAUCAUUGUGGAUAGUGGAUCGAGCCACACCAUUCUAAAAGACAAGAAUUACUUCAUAAAUUUAGUAAUCAAAACCGCAAACAUUAGCACUAUAGCGGGUAGUUCGAGCCUAAUAGAGGGCCAUGGCCAAGCUAAUGUGUUGUUAUCAAAUGGCACAUAUCUAGACAUCUCUGAUGCCUUAUACUCACCCAGUUUUAAGAGAAACCUAUUGAGUUUCAAAGACAAAAGAUUGAAUGGUUUCCAUAUCGAAACUCAGGAUGAAGGGAACAAAGAGUUUUUAAUUAUCACUAAAAUGAUAAAUGGCCAUAAACAAGUUUUUGAAACUAUACCCGCCGUAUCUACUGGCAUUUACCAUGCUAAAGUCAGUAUGAUUGAGGCUAAUGCUGCUAUCAAAGCACGGUUUUUAGAUUACACUAUUUGGCAUGAUCGCCUGGGUCAUCCCGGUGCGAACAUGAUGCGUAAAUUAGUCCAGAAUUCUAAAGGGCACAGCCUUAAACCAAAUGGUGUUUUCCCUCAGCACCUCAAGUGCACAGCUUGCUCACAAGGGAAACUGAUUACCCGACCUUCACCAGUCAAAGUGUCUAAAGAGACCUUGAACUUUCUGGAAAGAAUCCAAUGAGACAUAUGUGGACCAAUUCACCCACCUUGUGGGACAUUCAGAUAUUUCAUGGUCCUCAUUGACGCAUCGACCCGCUGGUCGCAUGUCUGUCUGCUCUCUUCUAGGAACCAGGCUUUUGCUAGGUUAUUGGCCCAAAUCAUCAGAUUACGAGCCCAUUUUCCAGACUUCCCAUUAAAGACUAUACGUCUUGAUAAUGCUGGUGAAUUCACUUCCCAAGCGUUUAAUGAAUAUUGUAUGUCCAUGGGGGUAAGUGUUGAACAUCCCGUUCCACAUGUCCAUACACAAAAUGGAUUAGCUGAAUCCUUCAUUAAACGAAUUCAAUGGGUUGCUAGACCAUUACUCAUGAGGUCACAACUCCCGGUCUCAGCUUGGGGACACGCAGUCUUACAUGCCGCUGAACUAAUACGCAUACGACCAUCUAGUGAGCACAAAUAUUCACCAUCCCAAUUGCUAAUGGGUCAUGAGCCAGACGUCUCCCAUAUUAAAACAUUUGGGUGUUCAGUCCAUGUACCCAUUGCACCACCACAGAGGACUAAAAUGGGACCUCAAAGGAGGAUGAGAAUAUAUGUUGGUUUUGAUUCUCCCACCAUCAUAAAAUAUCUCGAGCCAACUACAGGAGAUCUGUUUAAAGCCAGAUAUGCAGAUUGCCGAUUUGAUGAAUCGGUAUAUCCUAGAUUAGGUGGUGAGACAGACAAGCUGGUAAAAGAACUUUCAUGGAAUCAAACAUCCACACAAUGGCAAGAUCCUCGGACUCUAGAAUGUGAUUCAGAGGUCCAAAGAAUUAUACAUUUACAAAAGCUAGCUAAUCAAUUGCCAGAUUCCUUUGCUGACCCGAACAAAGUUACCAAAUCGUAUAUACCAGCUUGUAAUGCACCAGUACGAAUAGAUGUCCCCUCAGGGAAAAGUCAAGUUGCUACAGAGUCUGACGCACGUAAGAAACGUGGACCACCAGGUUCCAAAGAUAAGAAUCCCCGAAAAUCAAAGAAAGGUGCAAUGAUUGAAACCGGGAUUCAAGAGAACACGGGUACAGCCUUAGCUGAUACUUACCCUAUCGAACCAUCUCAAGAGGUUUGGGACGCCAAAACUCAAGGUUCUGAAGGGAUUGAUAAUAAUGAGAUCUCAAUCAAUUAUAUCAUAUUCGGUUCUCUAUGGAACAGAAAAGAUGUUGACAUCAAUGAAACUUUUGCAUACAAGGUAGCACUUGAGAUUGCGCACACGCAAGAGGAUCUAGAACCCACGUCUAUAAUUGAGUGCACUCUUAGAUCAGAUUGGCUGAAAUGGAAAGAAGCCAUAAACGUGGAGUUGAAUAGUUUAAAGAAACGGAAUAUGUUUGGUCCGAUCUUAAGGACACCAUUCGAUGUAAAACCAGUGGGAAACAAAUGGGUCUUUGUGCGUAAAAGAAACGAACUCGGCGAAGUCGUUAGAUACAAGGCACACCUUGUAGCACAAGGAUUCUCACAGAGACCCGGAAUCGAUUAUGAGGAGACUUAUUCUCCAGUGGUGGAUGCAACUACAUUUCGAUUCCUCAUAAGUCUGGCCAUAAGAGAAAACUUAGAUUUGCGGUUAAUGGAUGUUGUAACCGCAUAUCUUUAUGGACCACUGGACAGUGAAAUCUAUAUGAGAUUACCAGAUGGUAUUGAGCUCAAAGAUAAGCAUGCAUCUCGUGAUAAACACUGCAUUAGGCUGAACAAAUCCUUAUAUGGACUGAAACAAAGCGGACGUAUGUGGUAUAACCGGUUAAGCGAAUAUCUCAUCAGAGAAGGCUACGAAAACGAUCCGAUCAGUCCAUGCAUCUUCAUCAGAAAAUAUCAAAACAAAGGAUUUGUAAUCAUAGCAGUAUACGUGGAUGACUUGAACAUCCUCGGAAUAUCUGGUGAAAUCGCCCAAACAGUUGAAUGCUUAAAAGCAGAGUUUGAAAUGAAAGACCUAGGCAAAACUAAAUUCUGUUUGGGAUUACAACUUGAGUACGUCAAUGACGGAAUCCUUGUGCAUCAAUUGGCAUACACUGAAAAGGUACUCAAGAGAUUCAAUAUGGACCAGGCCCACCCAUUAACCAGCCCAAUGGUUGUGAGGAGCCUUGGAUUGGAUAGUGAUCCAUUCGGUCCAAAGAAGGACGAUGAAAAAAUCCUCGGUCCUGAAAUGCCAUACCUCAGUGCUAUAGGAGCAUUAAUGUACUUGGCUAGUCACACUAGACCAGACAUCUGCUUUGCCGUGAGCCUCUUAGCUCGCUUUAGUUUGUGUCCAACUCAAAGGCACUGGAACGGUAUUAAGCACAUCCUUAGAUACCUUCAAGGUACUAAGGACUUGGGAUUAUUUUAUUCUAACCAUAACAAGGAUGGUCUAGUUGGUUUUGCUGAUGCAGGAUAUUUGUCAGAUCCGCACUGUGCCCGGUCUCAAACCGGUUAUGUUUUCACGCAUGGAGGAACAGCCAUAUCUUGGAGAUCCAUGAAGCAGACUAUUGCCGCUACCUCAUCCAACCAUGCGGAAAUCUUGGCCAUUCACGAAGCUAGUAGAGAGUGUGUUUGGUUGCAGUCCAUGACUCAGCAUAUCCGAUCAGAUUGUGGUAUGGACGAAGAUAAGGAGCCUACGGUGAUGUAUGAAGACAAUGCAGCUUGUAUCGCUCAACUCAAGGACGGCUACAUCAAAGGUGACCGGACGAAGCAUAUUCUGCCCAAAUUCUUCUUCACUCAUGAGCUACAGAAGGAUGGUCAGGUCAAGGUUCAGCAAGUCCGAUCAAGCGAAAAUUCAGCCGAUCUAUUCACUAAAUCAUUACCGACUUCUACACUCCAGAAGCUCAUUCAUCAGAUAGGAAUGCGUAGACUUAGAGAUCUACAGUGAUGCCUAAACCAGGGGGAGUAAUGCGUGUUGUACUCUUUUUCCUUCACCAUGGUUUUUCCCACUGGGUUUUCCUGGUAAGGUUUUAAUGAGGCAACGUUCCCCAGCGCAUUAUAGAGAUCCCGGUUUUGUGACAGGCACGGUUACCUUGUCCAAGGGGGAGUGUUAUAAAAAAAUGGACUUCUAGUAACCGGCCCAUUAACCAUCAGGUUAAUGUCUCAUGGCCCAUUAGGGUUUUUGAUGCAUUAGUUAUGUAAUGUAUAUAUACACUGCUUAUGGAAAUAAUAAGAUCUGAGUUUUUCCCUUAAUAAGUUUUCCUUUUUACAAAGUUUUUCUUUUUAUUAGAUUUUCCUUUUUUAUAAGAUUAUUUCCUUUAUUACAAAGCUUUUCUAUUGAGCCAUAAGAGCUCAUUUCAAUUUACACAUAAAAUAAUUUUAUAAAUCUGCAAGUUUUAUAAAAAAUAGUUCCGACAAUGUCUUUUUUUGUUAAAGGGCUUACUUGAAUAUAAAGAAUGUUAACAGAUACAAUGAAUCAAACAAGAACCAAAAGGAGCCUAGGAAAAGAUCAAAGCAGGAAACAGAUUACAAGGAUCAUAAAAGGUAGAGCAUGCCUAUCACAACACGCUUUACCACCAACCAACCAAAAGAAGAGAUCAGUCAAUUCGGCGUCCAAAGGGCGACCAGGCCAUCGCCAUAUUUCGAACCAAUUUGAAGAAGAGCCCUGGAUUUGUUCCUAAGAACAGCCAGUAUUUUAAGGAGUACCUGAGAGGGUCUUAGGGAAAACCCAUCAUGAAAACGCCGGUUGCGCUCAGCCCAUAUCUCAAACAUUGAGGCUUGCCAUCCCUGGACCAAAGCUAGAAACUGGACCUUUGUCGUUGUCGCAGUGGGGAGCCAAAGCACGACCUCAUUCCAAGAUCCAGGGAUGAAGGAUAAGUGAAGAUGAGCGAGCACCUCUCGCCAAACCUCAUAGGAGUAGGUGCAUUCAAAAAACAGGUGGUUUCUCGAUUCAGUAGAGGAGCCACAUAGCAGACAAGUGUUUUCGACAUCCAAACCCCAAGCAGAAAGUCUAUCCAAAGUUGGGUUUCUGUUGAGGGUAAAAAGCCAGGCCGAGAAAGCAUGCUUCGGAAUAGCGACCUUAUGCCAGACAAGAGGAAACCAGGCGACUUGAGCUUUGCGAUUCCUAAUCAUAUCCCAAACCUCUUUAGAGGAGAAAGAAUCCUUAACUUUGCCAGCAACAAUCCAAACUGGGUAAUCAGUUCUGCACGAUGGACUGAGCUGAGAGAUGGAAGCAUAAACCAGAACCUGAUCAUCCGAUCUAGCAGGUGGCAACCUCCAACUAUCUUCAACAACGAAGUCCGAUACCAGAGCAUCGAUAGGGAUUCCGAUUCGGGAAGGACCUGUAGCCCCAAGAAAGUUGAUUAAGGGUCCAUGCGAAGUCUACGGAUCCCACCAAAAGAAAGUGUCUUCACCAUUACCAAUCUGAAUGGAUAAGAAUUGUAAAGCCUUCUUUCUU